CUCCCUCCCGGGCCUCGACCCCACCUGGGUCCAGCCGCCGCCAGGGAGGGGCUCCCCGUGGCGGGAGGUGUGCAAGCCGCACCGUGCGGUCCCUCGGCCCCGGGCCCCGCGUGCGUUCACGGAAGAAAUGAGGGGCCGGGAGGCAGGUUGAAGCCAGCGGCUCCUCGCGUCCCUGCAGAGUGUUGGAAGAUUCCAGAGGCCCCACAAAACCUGUCCCGUGCACCUCCUCCUCCGGACAUCCGGAGGUUGCGGCGUGGCAUUCAGAAAGGUUCUGGAAAUGGAAGGGCCGAGGGACACUCGAACGGGUCCAUCUGCAUAGUGGAAGGUCACUCGGCUGUAAAAGGACUGAAGCACUGACACUGGCCACAGCGUGGAUGAAACUUGAAAUCGUGACCCUGAGCAACAGAAGUCAGGCACAAAAGGCCAACAGGGUCUCACUAGGUCUCCGAGGCUGGCUUGGAACUUGCGAUCCUCUUGCCUCAGGCUCCCGAGUCGCUGGAUUACAGGUGUGUGCGACACACACCCAGCUCGCCUCAAUUCAAACCAAAAAAACCCCCCAAACCACCAAGGGACUUAACUGCUCACACUGCAGACUGGUCACUGUGCAGAGCAGAGGUUUUAGGAUCAUGCAGACGGGGGAGAGCAGAGCUGUAAACCACUGAAUGACACCACACCCUCUGGGGUUGGCCAGCUCCAUGGGUCCCUGCGUCCCUGCCCAGACCCACCCUCCUGAGAUAGGUGCGUGUCACACAGGCCGGGGGAGGCAGGGCACUCCCGAGAAAAAUGCCUCCUGUGUUUUAAAGGUGCCCAGCCUUGCUCGGGACCCAGGGGAGGUAGAUUAGAGGCAGCGCGAGGUACCAUGUUCCUGCCGCUUAUCAGAUGGGCCGGAACCCACGCCUAGAGAGGCCGGGGAGAGGAGGUGGCCGCAGAUGGUGGCCUCCAGGCAGCUCCAGGCAUGCAGCUGGCCCUACACCAUCAGCCCUACGGCCACACCAAGACUAUCUGGAGGGCCCAAGGCCACCAGUCCUGACACACAUGGAUGGAAGGGACACUGCCAUGGGCUCAGGUGACUGCUUUGUCCCUCUAUGGAACUGCGACUCCCUCCCUGAUCCCCACAGCUUGCAGGGCCACUGGGGGAAGCCACACCUCAAUGGCUGCAAACCCGUGCUGAAGUCAGGGACGUGCAGACGCUCCCGGCACCAGGGUUUCCCUCUUUUUUUUAACGGAUGAAGAAGCGGAGGGAGGAAGGGCUGGCGCAUCCCAGAGGCCAGGCUCCUCCAGGGAGUCAGGAGGCGUCCUAAGGGACACAGUGUAAAUGGGGUUUUUAGGUAUGAGCAGGAGCUUGCAGGAUGGGGAAGCGCACCCCUCCCUGGCACAGCCGGCCCUUCCCUUCCUCUGCAGACAAGGUAGGAGGACCCAGAAGUGCGGGGCAGGUCUCAAGCCACAUCCUGCUUCCUGCUUCCGGAGCUCCAUCUGGUGCAGCUUGGUUCCCUCAGGGUCAGACACUGAGGGUCCCAGGUGCCUGGCAGGACCCAGGACUGCCUGCUGAGCUUGGCCCUGCUCCCCAGCACUGGGUCUGUUGCCAUGUCUGUCCUGGUCCCUCCAGGCCACUUUGUACACGCACUCCUCUAGGGUGCAUCUUCCCCAUGGACACUGUUGAGGGGGGUUGCAGAUGAGGAAACUGAGGCGCAAGCCACUCCGAGCACAGUCAGUGAGGGCCGUGUAGGCUCCGGACCCGGGCCCUCUGCUCCCAAGGCGUGCAGCUCCUAAGAACUUUGUCUUGCUCACAGCUCUGACCCACCGCCUGGCAUACUGUAGGGGCCCAAUUAAUACUCAUGCAGUGACUAAAAAUUGCUUUUUCAUGGAACUCAAACUCUGCCUGGCGUGCCCUUGCUCAUCUUGUAAACUCCUACUUGAACCUCGAAGCCCCAUUUACUUUGCCCCCUCCCUAGGAGGUCUUCUUGACUCCUUGAGAAAAGCUCUGGGGGCCCCAGUCUGGGUUCCUCUAGUCCUUGCCCCUCCCACUAGCCCAGAUCUGAGCCCGUGGGACUGGUGCCCAUGUGGCUUUUGUCCCUUGAAUGCUUGGAGGAUGAGCAGCGUGGAAGGUUGGGGCCCACACCCGGCUCUUUUCCUCUCCACUCUGACAUUAAGAAGGACAAACCCUGGAGCAGGAUGAGGUUUCCUUUUUUAUUUUGUUAGAAAAUAAAGUGUUGAUUCGAAGAACAUUAAAAGGCCAGGGCCUGCGCGGAGCUGGCAGGAGGCGGGUCUUGGCUCAGCCGGGCAGGGCCUGGGGCUGGGGAGGCCCCGCGUCCAGCAGGAGGGCGGUGGAGAGGGCACCUGUGCAGAGCCAGGCGGGCUCAGCAGCUCACCAGGUACAUCCCUGCGGGAGGGACAGUGAGGAGGGGCUGUCCUGCCGGCUCCCUCCGGGCUGCCCUGGGUCAACCCAGGCCCCUUUCUUCCUUUUUGUUCGCAGUUGGGGGAGGGGCCCCAGGCCCCACCCCCCUGCUUCCCCCCUGACUUCUUCCUCUGGGGCCCUGACCCCAACCUACUUCCCCAAUUCUGGGUCUCUUGGCUCCAAAGCCUUCCUGUCCUUUCAAAGGCCCCCCUGCAGACUCCUCCCAGCGCCCUGGCAGGGGCA